rnacentral:rRNA from 1 species
CCUACGUGAGGCAGCAGUGGGGAAUAUUGCGCAAUGGGCGAAAGCCUGACGCAGCGACGCCGCGUGAGGGAUGAAGGUCUUCGGAUCGUAAACCUCUGUCAGCAGGGAAGAACGGUCACUGUGCUAAUCAGCAGUGAAUUGACGGUACCUGCAAAGGAAGCACCGGCUAACUCCGUGCCAGCAGCCGCGGUAAUACGGAGGGUGCGAGCGUUAAUCGGAAUUACUGGGCGUAAAGCGCUCGUAGGCGGUAUGUCAAGUCAAGGGUGAAAUCCCCGCGCUCAACGUGGGAACUGCCUUUGAAACUGGCAAACUGGAGUGUGUGAGAGGAUAGUGGAAUUCCAGGUGUAGGAGGGAAAUCCGUAGAUAUCUGGAGGAACAUCAGUGGCGAAGGCGACUAUCUGGCACAUAACUGACGCUGAGGAGCGAAAGCGUGGGUAGCAAACAGGAUUAGAGACCCCUGUAGUC